rnacentral:lncRNA from 1 species
UUCUCUUUCAUGGACACAAGACCAAAAUCCUAGGGGAAUCUAUCUUCUUCUUCAUGAGCUAUACAAGAAAUCCUUAGGAGAUAAGGAGAUGAAAAAAGCUUCAGCAGCCAUAAACAAGGCAACAUCCACCUUAACCCCUCUUGAAUAAGAGAACCACCUCCAGCCGACCUCACUAGACCCGCUGCCCAUCAGCUUGCACCACCCAGUCGCCUUCCAACGACCACCCUACAGCCAUCGACCACACCCCAAACCUAGAGAGCCACCAGACCUUAGACCCAGCCGUCAACCCUGAAAACUCGUCGGAAAACAAGCUCGCUGGGAAACAACGGCCACGACUCCACUACCAUUUUCCCCACGCCACCUCUACGCUCUCACCAGCUAGCCGGAACCUUUACUUCUUCUUCUCACCUUCAAGCCCGAAAGAACUCCUCACUCAGAUGCCAACGACGCUGCUUUAACACCCAGCGUCCCACCUCCUCUCCAAGUUGCCUCUGACAUUGCUUUCGAUUCAGACUUUUUGUUCUCUGAUUUUGUUAUAG